AUCACCUUUUGGCCUUUUGGUUAAGAUCAAGUACAAUAUUUGUUCUUAUUAGUUUACUAUCUGAUACAUUGUCUAUCCCAGGACACUACAGUAAGUGGGUUUUUGGAGGCAGAACAUACAAUAGGAGCUUGUGCCGUCCAUUCCACCCAUCAAACUGGUAUCCCAGUACCAGCAGGAAUAGGGCAUAGGGU